UACGAAGGGGGCUAGCGUUGCUCGGAAUCACUGGGCGUAAAGGGUGCGUAGGCGGGUCUUUAAGUCAGGGGUGAAAUCCUGGAGCUCAACUCCAGAACUGCCUUUGAUACUGAAGAUCUUGAGUUCGGGAGAGGUGAGUGGAACUGCGAGUGUAGAGGUGAAAUUCGUAGAUAUUCGCAAGAACACCAGUGGCGAAGGCGACUACCUGGCCUGUUUCUUGACGCUGAGGCGCGAAAGCUAGGGGAGCAAACGGGG
rnacentral:rRNA from 1 species